CAGCAGCCACGGGAACACGAAGGGGGCUAGCGUUGUUCGGAAUUACUGGGCGUAAAGCGCACGUAGGCGGCUUGGUAAGUUAGAGGUGAAAGCCCGGAGCUCAACUCCGGAAUUGCCUUUAAGACUGCCGGGCUAGCAGGUGAGAGAGGUAAGUGGAAUUCCGAGUGUAGAGGUGAAAUUCGUAGAUAUUCGGAAGAACACCAGUGGCGAAGGCGGCUUACUGGCUCAUACUGGACGCUGAGGUGCGAAAGCGUGGGGAGCAAACAGGAUUAGAUACCCCUGUAGUCCCUGUCUCUUAUAC
rnacentral:rRNA from 1 species